GAUGAACGCUGGCGGCGUGCCUAAUACAUGCAAGUCGAGCGAACAGACGAGGAGCUUGCUCCUCUGACGUUAGCGGCGGACGGGUGAGUAACACGUGGAUAACCUACCUAUAAGACUGGGAUAACUUCGGGAAACCGGAGCUAAUACCGGAUAAUAUAUUGAACCGCAUGGUUCAAUAGUGAAAGACGGUUUUGCUGUCACUUAUAGAUGGAUCCGCGCCGCAUUAGCUAGUUGGUAAGGUAACGGCUUACCAAGGCAACGAUGCGUAGCCGACCUGAGAGGGUGAUAGGCCACACUGGAACUGAGAAACGGUCCAGACUCCUACGGGAGGCAGCAGUAGGGAAUCUUCCGCAAAGGGCGAAAGCCUGACGGAGCAACGCCGCGUGAGUGAUGAAGAUCUUCGGAUCGUAAAACUCUGUUAUUAGGGAAGAACAAAUGUGUAAGUAACUAUGCACGUCUUGGCGGUACCUAAUCAGAAAGCCACGGCUAACUACGUG
rnacentral:rRNA from 1 species